rnacentral:lncRNA from 1 species
UGUGCUGUCUUUGAUGCUUUCAUGGGUAGACUCCAGCCACCUAUCAGACACGAAGGUGGGGAAUCGACACCAACAGGACUCUCCUACCCUUCCAGAUUUCCCGAGACAAGCCCCUGGGGAGAGUGGAAAAGUCCUGGAGUCCAAGCAAAGCUACAGACCCUGAAGAUCCAGCAGGAUCCAAUCCUCUGCAAAAGUGUUGGUUGUUAUCAACCAAAGAGAAGAGCCAGGCAAAGGUGAUUCAUGAUCCCCACAAUGAUGACUCCACAACAGGUGUCUGAUGAUGCCUUCCCAGCAGGUGGCAGUGGCCCUAGCAGGUGCUCUGGAACGAGGCUGACUUCCUGCAGUCUGGGAAUGGGUACUCCUCUGUGCUGCACUUGGGGCCAGUGCCGGCUGGCCACACUGUCCUUCUGAAAAUGCCAUUCUCUUCACUCCACUCCCUGUGCUCACCGGCUCACACUCAGUGCAGGAGUCUUCCAUGUGCCUACACAGCACUGGUCCACCUCUCCCGUCAGCAUGCACUGAAGAGCAAACUGUAGAUCCACCCCUCAUCUGGUAACUGAUGGUUGAACACCCCUUCUCUCAAGACCCUAAGAUUCGGGAACCUGGGUGGUUCAGUGGUUGACCACCUGCUCAGGUUGUGACCCCGGGGUCCUGGGAUCGAGUCCCACGCGCCAAACCGCUGCGCCACCCAGGGAUCCCAUAAUAAUCUUUAAAAAAUUCCUCUUACACCGAGGACCAUGCUUAUCUUAGUCAUUACCCUACAUCCAGGCCCUGAGCACUGCAUGGCAGGAGCUAUAUUGCCGGUAAGGUAAGUGUUUGCUUGAUUAUUCAGUGAGUGGGCCCCAGGGGCAUCUGAGAAAGUAAAUGCGCAUUUUUCCAGGUACCAGUGUGAAACAGUCCUGACCAGUGAGACAGAACCAGGGAGGGUAGGGGCUGGGGGCUUCUACAACUGCUCCACUGUCCUGAUAAAAAAGACAAGCAUCUCUGGUUUCAGCUCCUUCCACACUAUGUCCUGCUUUGAAUAUGGCUGUGAUGCUUGGAAUUAGGCAGCCAUCCUGUGACCCUGAGGGAAAGUCAGAGCCAAUCAUAUGGUAUGCGGGACUUUAUGUUUUUGAAAAACCAAACUAAUGCCAGCAGCUGCUGAGAUCCAGACAUCUUGCUAAUGAGUAAGCAAAACAAAGUACGAUCUCAAGUGAAUUAAGUGACCCGAGUUUUCUGCUACUUGCAAUGAAAGCAUUUCUAACAGAUAGUAGUAUGUGUUGGGUUGAGAUAUCUCAACACUCUGAGACUUCAUCAUCUGAAAUUAAAAAGGAGAUCAGAUAUCUUGUACAUUCUGCAGCACUGAAACUGAGUCUAAGGCAAUCCACAAUCUGAUAACUGGGGAAGAGAGAAGGAAGAGAUUUAAACACAGUUACAAAGAAGGCGUUUUACUUUAUAUGCUGAUCUCACCAAGAGGGAGGCUCUCACUUAUCUCUUCCUCCAAUAUUACUGAGUAGUUCAGCAAACAUGCUGGUUAACGAUGAAGUAUAUAGGGUGCGAUGUAUAGUUUUUAAAGCAUCCACUCUUCCCUCCUUCAUCCCAAUAUUAAUUAUGUAACUAGUUAUGUAACCAAUCGACAUCCACAUAUUUGAAUCUGAUCUUUUGAUUUCAUCAUGUCAGAUCAUUUCCUUUAGAUUUAAAAACAGCAAAGAACAAUGUUUCUCUCAUCUAUGACGAACUAUAAUUAACUCCAAAAAUAUCUGUCCUUCAGUCACAUAGAGCACUUUUUAUAGUUGUUGGAGGCGUCACUGGUAAAAGUACACAUUGACACUGCAUUCUAAGAGCUAUUAAUAAGGCAAGACUUGGAUGUUUUUUCUUCACUGAAAGUUCAUUCCCCACCUCCCAGCCUUUGAGUGACUGCUAUAUUUUUAGCCAACCGAGCUUAACCACUGUGAUCACAGAGUCGGGAUCUGAGACUGAAUUUCUUACAGAGAUCAAGAAUGAGCUGGAGUUUUCACAUGCACAUAUAUAUACCAGGUUGUCUUUUUCUAUAUCUGAGUUCAAAUAUUACUGUACUCUGUUCUAUCUAAUUGCACUACAAUCUCUGACACAAUAUCCAUUACAUAUGAAAUUUACAUGCAAAUGGCAAAUAAAUAGAAUCUUGCUGCUGCUCCUUGGUCUGUGGUUCUUACGGUCAGCAGAUGCUAUUAGGGACUUUAUUAGCCUGCACGGUGAUGGAAAUGCUUUA